ACUGGAAAAUUAAACAUGAACAACUUUGCUGGGGUAAAUUCAGGCUGCAAAUCCCAACCCAGGAUUCAUACUCAUCUGUGGUAUGUGUGAGACUGAGAGGAAGAAUCACCUGGAGAUUUGAACUUUGGUGGAAAACUAGCUGACUGCCCUGGAGUUGUGGAGCGGGCAUGGGAUGGAGGGAAGGAGACCUGUGAUUCUCGCACAGCUCAGGCGAGGGCUGCUGUCUGUACUGCCUUUGCAACCUCACCGCUGGAAGAGUACUAUGAAUAUGUACGACAUACAGGAGAUCGUAAGGGAAGAAAGCAAAGGCAAGCUGUGGAAUAAAAGUACAAGUCACCGUAUGGUUUGAUACCUACUGCUCUAAAAUGAUAUUGCUGCUUAUUUGCAUUUGAGGAGGAAAAAUCUUCAUCGUUAUGGGGUAAUCCAGGAUGAGAGCCCUAUGACCUGGCCAUCAGAAGUACUGUCAGGCAACCAUUUCCCCUGACUUCUGUUGUGCUGAACUGUACUGAAAAUCCAGUCUAGGUGCACUUUUCAUGUGCACCUAGACAGAAGCAGUGGAUAUCAUGGAUUACCUGGGUCUUGUCUUCUCGAGACUCAGUUUCCCUGCUUGUAAAUGUGGUAUUAAAGUAUUUAUCCUAUUUUUAGGCUUAAUUAAUAUUUUGGGGAUAUUUAGAUUUUCUUAGAUGAAAGAGCCACAAUACAGUUACGUUAUGCCAGGUCAGCAACUCCAGCCAUAAACUGACAUGAUCCCACUAAUUUCAGAUAGAGCUACGCUGACACCCAGCUGAAGUUCCUACCCAAAGUACCUGGAGAUCUGUUCAAACGAAAGAUUGUUUAAUAUCCUCUUAGGAAGAAGGUCAAUCUGCUGAAACAGGAUUUCUGAUUAUUAUCCUCUGACAUUCACUCUUCCUUAAAGCUACAAGGAAGCCAUGGCCCUGGGAUACCAAAAACUCUAUUAAUAUAUGGCAAACUAUGGACCUUUUCCUGAAUAACUCUUCAUUGUCUAGGGUUAAUAAUGUUUUAUACAUGUUUUAAUGUUUCCAUAUCUGCCUCGGGGCAGAAGUUUGGAACAGAAGAACGAAGAGGAACAGUUCUUCUGGGAGAUCCUGAGGGGAAGGAGGAGGGAAACUUUGAGAGGGAAUAUGGCUUUUUGUAGAGGGUGAGUGACUGGCAUCUGCUAGGGAGUCAAGUCUGGGAUGGAGGAAGAAGAAAGGAGAGAAAAAAAGAGGUAGGAAGGCUUCCUGUUAACUCAAUCUGUUGUUUAAGACAGACAUGGAAAGUUUGAAUGACAGGAGAGAAGAGAGGGGGUCCUACUGUUUCCAACCCCUCCAGGGGACAAGGGGAUGCCCUGGAAUAGAAAUUGAGAACCAGGUACAAAGGCAAAACUUGGAUUCAAAUUUAAGUGCUUUCUUCAAUAUUUGGAUUUUGGAAAUGCUUUCAUGAAUGGGCAGAGGGAUAGAUUGGGUGAUAGAGGUUGAAGUGCUGGCAGUGACCUGUCCUUGGACAUCAGCAGCGUUGUCAUGGAAGAAAUUGUGAAGUUUCUUUUGUAGGAAGGCUGGGGGAAUAGAAUGGAGAAGAGCAAAGUAGGGCAGCUGGAAGCAGAUUGUGCUACUAAUUGGUCAUUAUUCUGUGUUAUAUGAAAUGUUGUCAUACAUUUUGAGGUCUAGUAAGGUAAAGGGAAUUUUAGCAGGUCACACUGUGGUACAAAUAUGAGGGGAAAAACAGAUGGGAAGGUUUGAGAACAAGAUGAAGCUUUUUAGGAUUGGGAGGAUCAGAAAAAGAUAAAAACAGCAGUCAACCUUGGGGCAGCUAUACCCAUCAAAUUGCAAGGCAAAGACCACCCAGAAUAUAUUCUUGUGAUGUGGAACUGGAGCAUCAUCUGAGAUGUCAGAGGCUUAGUGGCAAUGAACUGUUAUGAAAAUCAUCCUAUGGAUAGAAAAUAUUAAAAAAAAAAAGACAAAAAAAGAAUCAGCUCUCCUGCAAAGAGAGGGUUUCUCCCAGGCAGAAACCAAAGCCAGUGCUUGCAUAGGGGAAUGCUGUGCAAAAUCAAUGUAAUGUGCAGAAAUAAAAACUGUACACAAGCAUGGCGAGGCAUUACAGCACACUGAUAGCUGCACUGUAGGAAAGUACAAUGCAUUUCAGACUUGAAAAGUUGAAAUAGUAACAGACUUUUCCUAAAGCACGGGGCAUAAGUGGCACCUACUAAAUUUCUUUCGCG